GCAUUGGUGGUUCAGUGGUAGAAUUCUCGCCUGCCACGCGGGAGACCGGGUUUCGAUUCCCCGCCAAUGCA
rnacentral:tRNA from 1 species